ACAGCUCUUUUAUGUGCUGCAUUGCUGUUAAACAUUCUGUUAUUUAUUUCUUUUGCUGUAGUUGAGAAGGAAGGAGAGGAGUAAACUGCUUCCCUUGAGAACUGCGGAAUUUGGUGCCUGAAAUUACAGAAUCACAGAAUGUGCUGAGUUGGAAGGGACCCACAGGGAUCACAGAGUCCAACUGCACAGAACCAUCACCAAGAGUCAUAUCCUGUGCCCAAGAGUGAUGAGCACCUUGUGGCCUUUGGGUGCUUUAACUCCUCUGGAGGCAGCUACAUGAGGAAAGAAGAAAAAAAAGAUGACCUUACAGUCAUUUAUUACUGUUUAUGCCAGUGUCUG
rnacentral:lncRNA from 12 species